GACCUAAACACUAUAGUCCAUGUAGCCUACAGGUUUCAGACCUAAAUACUAUAGUCCAUGUAGACUACAGGUUUCAGACCUAAACACUAUAGUCCAUGUAGCCUACAGGUUUCAGACCUAAACACUAUAGUCCAUGUAGCCUACAGGUUUCAGACCUAAAUACUAUAGUCCAUGUAGACUACAGGUUUCAGACCUAAACACUAUAGUCCAUGUAGGCUACAGGUUUCAGACCUAAACACUAUAGUCCAUGUAGCCUACAGGUUUCAGACCUAAACACUAUAGUCCAUGUAGCCUACAGGUUUCAGACCUAAACACUAUAGUCCAUGUAGCCUACAGGUUUCAGACCUAAACACUAUAGUCC